rnacentral:rRNA from 1 species
GAUGAACGCUGGCGGCGGGCCUAAUACAUGCAAGUCGAACGGACAGAUGAGAAGCUCUUUCCCCUGACGUUAGCGGCGGACGGGUGAGUGACACGUACAUAACCUACCUCUAUUUCUGGGAGGACUACGGGAAGCCGCAUCUAAUACAAGCGAAUACAUUGUACCGGUGGGUUCAGUGGUGAAUCGCGGUUUUGCUGUCUGUUAUAGAUGGAUCCGUGCCGGAUUAGCUAGUUGGUAAGGUAAAGGCCUACCAAGGCGACGAUGCGUAGCCGAUCUGAGAGGAUGAUCAGCCACACUGGAACUGAGACACGGUCCAGACUCCUACGGGAGGCAGCAGUGGGGAAUAUUGGGCAAUGGGCGCAAGCCUGAUCCAGCCAUACCGCGUGAGUGAAGAAGGCCUUCGGGUUGUAAAGCCCUUUUGUUGGGAAAGAAAAGCAGCAGGUGAAUACCCCGCUGUUCUGACGGUACCCAAAGAAUAAGCACCGGCUAACUUCGUG